AAUUCAGUACAUUUUUUGGAUAGAGGAUCAAUAUACAAAAACAAUAGCAUUCUUGCUUUAACCAAUUCGAACAAUUAAUAAUACCCCAUUCAAAAAUCUGUACAGCCGUUUAAAGCAAACCUGAGAAAUGAUAUGCAAGAACUUUUAAAAAAGAAUUCUAAAAUUAUUGAAAGAUAUAAGACAAUCCUAAGUGAGAAACCACAUUAUUAAAUAACAAGACUCCAUAUCAUACCCAUAUCAAUCCUCCUCAAAUUGAUCUAUAAAUUCAGUGUAAUACAAAUUCAAGUUCUGUUUAAUAAAAGGGAUUGUUAAGUUCUUGUACUUAAUAAAGCUGUACCACUUUUACCUCACCUCUUCUUAAAAAUCAGCAUGUACUUGUCAUGGGCUGCUUUUUUCUUUUUUUUUUUUUUUUUAAGUGUACAGAUAGAUUGAUACUAAAAGGUAGCCUCUUGUUCUCUUUUGCCACUGUAAUUGUUUCCAAAUAACAUACAAAUAUUUAGAAAAGAUUGUUUCUCAGAUCCCCAAAUUCAUUGCAAUUCUCAAGCUGUGUUGAGAGGAUUGACUUCAAAGAGAAGAAAAGUAAUAAUUAAAAAAAUGCGACUAUGAUUUUUUAAAAAUAAAAAAGUCUUUUUGGAUCUAUGACAGAAUUAUGCCAUAAAAAUAAUAGCUAGCAUUUAGAAAACACUUUCUAUGUGUCAGGCAGUGUGCUAAAAGCCUUGUGUAGAUUUUCUCAUUUAGACCUCAAAUUAAUGUGUCAUUAUUAAUUAGUCUCGAUUUAUUGGUGAGAAAAUGGAAACUUGGAAAAAUUAGGGAACUAGCAAGGUCACCUAACACAUAACCAACUUAAGGAACAAGGAGUCUAAAAAACAGAGUUGGGUUUUUAAAUACAAAGUGGCACAGCCUCUUAAGCAUAAUUCCCCAUAUAUUGCUUGUGUUAGAAAACAAGAUAAGUUGGGGAUUAAGAGACUUAUAUCCUCAUCCAAGCUGGAUGGCAAUAUACUCAGAGGCUUUGUUCUGAGUCUGUCUGUUCAUGCACAAAAAUUGUAUUAAAUGCCUAAUAUGCACAGAACACUAGUAGAGGUACUGGAAGAACAUAUAGUCCCUACCCUUUAGGAAUGGACAGCCUUUUAAGGGAGGAAAGGGAGUGUAGUAGUGACUAUUGUUUCUCUGGAGAAACAUCUAUUUAAGUCCUACAGCCUCAGUUGUGACUUUCUUAAUGCACAAAAUCUAAUGUGAGUAUCUUAUUCUGAAUGGUUAAUACUUCCUCCUCUUGGCAGUGACAGAACUGAAAAUUCCCGAGACAUUUCCCAUUAAAUAUAUUAAGCAUUCAAGACAAAUGCAUUGGUAAUUCUGCUCAAGAUACAUAAUUAUCACAUGGGAAUUAUUUAUGAAGCACGGAUGUCAGCAGAUAAAGUUUUGAGUUAGAAUUGAGUAUGCAAAUCUUCAGGUUAGAACACAGUGUUGUGUCUCCAUUUUUAGAGGAGAGUGAAAAAUGUAGUUAGACUUUUGAAAAUGUGGACGUUUUUUAAUAUGACUGUGACUAUGAAUUUUAUUCUAGAAUUAUCCUUUGAUACUUAAAAAAGAAACACACAUUUGGAUUACUUACAUAUCUGUAGACACAGCAAAUUAUAUGAUUUCUUCACCCUAGUUAAGUCAAUCCUAAUCAUGGUACACAGCAUGCAUUAGCGGGGUGGCUUCUCUCAAGUACCUAUUAUGAGGUUAGCUCAUCCUCCCGGCCAAAACUGUUUUAUGAGCUUCCUCUGAACAAAUUGUUACAAUGGGGGUGGAGGUGGAGAGUGCUCCCAGCAUCUAGAGGGUGGAGGCCAGGGGUGCUGCCAAACAUCCUGCAGUGCGUGGGACAAGCCCCCACAGCAAAGACUUAUCUGGCCCAAAAUGUCAGUAGUGCUGAAAUUAAGAAACACUGCUCUGGAAGGAGAGCGUGGCACAGUCACUUAACAUUUUUUUCUUUGUUAGUAUACAGACGGAAUACUAAGAAUAUUUAACACAUUUGAAUUUAGGAUUCAAGCUACAUUGUCCAGUGUACUACGUAAAUUGAACCCAUGGCAGGGCAGGUUAGAUAUGUGAGAAGUGCUUUCCUAAUCGAUUUAACCUGUCCAUGAUCUUUGGUCAUGGCAUGGAGGCCAACCAUAGAACGAGCCCUUCAUUUUUUAGAGGGCAGGAUUUUCCUAGAGCCUCACUCUUCUCCUUUCCCACUGCAGCUCUGUCCAUUCAGCAAGAUCCUAAGGAUUGUGUUCAACUUAGGAUUGAACACAGUCCUAAGUGUGUUGUUAUUCAACACAGAUUUGUUCAACAGAAUUUUAUGUGAUGAUGAAACAUUUUCUGUGUGUGCUUUCCGGUAUAGUAGCCAUUAGUUACAUGCAGCUACGACAUACUUGAAAUGUGGCUGGUAUGCCCGUGAAAUGGAUUUUUAAAUUUUAUUUAAUUGUAGUCCAUUUAAAAGUCAAUGUAAAGAGUCACAUGUGCUACUGGCUACCAUAUUGGACAGUGUAGGUUUGACAUCUUCACACCUCUCUAGGUCAAACCUUCCUUGGGGCUGAAGUCAGGCAUAGAUUGUCAUCAUUGUCAACUUCCUCCCAUUUUGCUUCUGAAUCUUUGGAGAGGGAUAUUUGGGCCCUGAGAGGGAAGGUGGACAAAGAGGUUCCCAUGUGACUUGGCCUCCAAAGAAAUACCUGCAAAAAAAAAAAAUCAGAUAUUUUGAACUCCCAAAGUUAGACUCUUGGAAUUUACAAAUCUGUAUGAUAUAUAUAGCCUGUCUUCUAUAAGUAAUUUUGCUAAAAGUUUC
rnacentral:lncRNA from 10 species